rnacentral:rRNA from 1 species
AUCAGAAGUGCGAAUGCUGACAUAAGUAACGAUAAAGCGGGUGAAAAGCCCGCUCGCCGGAAGACCAAGGGUUCCUGUCCAACGUUAAUCGGGGCAGGGUGAGUCGACCCCUAAGGCGAGGCCGAAAGGCGUAGUCGAUGGGAAACGGGUUAAUAUUCCCGUACUUGGUGUUACUGCGAAGGGGGGACGGAGAAGGCUAUGUUGGCCGGGCGACGGUUGUCCCGGUUUAAGCGUGUAGGUGUGUGUUCCAGGUAAAUCCGGUUCACUUUAACACUGAGGCGUGAUGACGAGGCACUACGGUGCUGAAGCAACAAAUGCCCUGCUUCCAGGAAAAGCCUCUAAGCAUCAGGUAACAUCAAAUCGUACCCCAAACCGACACAGGUGGUCAGGUAGAGAAUACCAAGGCGCUUGAGAGAACUCGGGUGAAGGAACUAGGCAAAAUGGUGCCGUAACUUCGGGAGAAGGCACGCUGACACGUAGGUGAAGUGAUUUACUCACGGAGCUGAAGUCAGUCGAAGAUACCAGCUGGCUGCAACUGUUUAUUAAAAACACAGCACUGUGCAAACACGAAAGUGGACGUAUACGGUGUGACGCCUGCCCGGUGCCGGAAGGUUAAUUGAUGGGGUCAGCGCAAGCGAAGCUCCUGAUCGAAGCCCCGGUAAACGGCGGCCGUAACUAUAACGGUCCUAAGGUAGCGAAAUUCCUUGUCGGGUAAGUUCCGACCUGCACGAAUGGCGUAAUGAUGGCCAGGCUGUCUCCACCCGAGACUCAGUGAAAUUGAACUCGCUGUGAAGAUGCAGUGUACCCGCGGCAAGACGGAAAGACCCCGUGAACCUUUACUAUAGCUUGACACUGAACAUUGAGCCUUGAUGUGUAGGAUAGGUGGGAGGCUUUGAAGUGUGGACGCCAGUCUGCAUGGAGCCGACCUUGAAAUACCACCCUUUAAUGUUUGAUGUUCUAACGUGGACCCGUGAUCCGGGUUGCGGACAGUGUCUGGUGGGUAGUUUGACUGGGGCGGUCUCCUCCUAAAGAGUAACGGAGGAGCACGAAGGUUGGCUAAUCCUGGUCGGACAUCAGGAGGUUAGUGCAAUGGCAUAAGCCAGCUUGACUGCGAGCGUGACGGCGCGAGCAGGUGCGAAAGCAGGUCAUAGUGAUCCGGUGGUUCUGAAUGGAAGGGCCAUCGCUCAACGGAUAAAAGGUACUCCGGGGAUAACAGGCUGAUACCGCCCAAGAGUUCAUAUCGACGGCGGUGUUUGGCACCUCGAUGUCGGCUCAUCACAUCCUGGGGCUGAAGUAGGUCCCAAGGGUAUGGCUGUUCGCCAUUUAAAGUGGUACGCGAGCUGGGUUUAGAACGUCGUGAGACAGUUCGGUCCCUAUCUGCCGUGGGCGCUGGAGAACUGAGGGGGGCUGCUCCUAGUACGAGAGGACCGGAGUGGACGCAUCACUGGUGUUCGGGUUGUCAUGCCAAUGGCACUGCCCGGUAGCUAAAUGCGGAAGAGAUAAGUGCUGAAAGCAUCUAAGCACGAAACUUGCCCCGAG